AUUGAACGCUGGCGGCAUGCCUUACACAUGCAAGUCGAACGGCAGCGGGGACUUCGGUCCGCCGGCGAGUGGCGAACGGGUGAGUAAUGUAUCGGAACGUACCAUUGAGUGGGGGAUAACGUAGCGAAAGUUACGCUAAUACCGCAUAUUCUCUCCGGAGGAAAGCAGGGGACCGCAAGGCCUUGCGCUCUUUGAGCGGCCGAUAUCAGAUUAGCUAGUUGGUGAGGUAAAAGCUCACCAAGGCGACGAUCUGUAGCGGGUCUGAGAGGAUGAUCCGCCACACUGGAACUGAGACACGGUCCAGACUCCUACGGGAGGCAGCAGGGGGGAAUUUUGGACAAUGGGGGCAACCCUGAUCCAGCCAUGCCGCGUGAGUGAAGAAGGCCUUCGGGUUGUAAAGCUCUUUCGGCCGGGAAAAAAUCGCAUGGGUUAAUACCCUGUGUGGAUGAUGGUACCGGAAUAAGAAGCACCGGCUAACUACGUGCCAGCCGCCGCGGUAA
rnacentral:rRNA from 1 species